UACGUAGGGGGCAAGCGUUGUCCGGAUUUAUUGGGCGUAAAGAGCGUGUAGGCGGCUGGGUAGGUCCGUUGUGAAAACUCGAGGCUCAACCUCGAGACGUCGGCGGAAACCCUCUGGCUAGAGUCCGGAAGAGGAGAGUGGAAUUCCUGGUGUAGCGGUGAAAUGCGUAGAGAUCAGGAAGAACAUCGGUGGCGAAGGCGCUCUGCUGGACCAUAACUGACACUCAGGGACGAAAGCUAGGGGAGCGAAUGGG
rnacentral:rRNA from 1 species